GACGAACGCUGGCGGCGUGCUUAACACAUGCAAGUCGAACGGAAAGGCCCUGCUUUUGUGGGGUGCUCGAGUGGCGAACGGGUGAGUAACACGUGAGUAACCUGCCCUUGACUUUGGGAUAACUUCAGGAAACUGGGGCUAAUACCGGAUAGGAGCUCCUGCUGCAUGGUGGGGGUUGGAAAGUUUCGGCGGUUGGGGAUGGACUCGCGGCUUAUCAGCUUGUUGGUGGGGUAGUGGCUUACCAAGGCUUUGAAGGGUAGCCGGCCUGAGAGGGGGACCGGCCACAUUGGGACUGAGAUACGGCCCAGACUCCUACGGGACGCAGCAGUGGGGAAUAUUGCACAAUGGGCGGAAGCCUGAUGCAGCAACCCCGCGUGCGGGAUGACGGCCUUCGGGUUGUAAACCGCUUUCGCCUGUGACGAAGCGUGAGUGACGGUAAUGGGUAAAGAAGCACCGGCUAACUACGUG
rnacentral:rRNA from 1 species